rnacentral:rRNA from 1 species
ACUUAAAUUGAAGAGUUUGAUCAUGGCUCAGAUUGAACGCUGGCGGCAGGCCUAACACAUGCAAGUCGAGCGGUAGCACAGAGAGCUUGCUCUCGGGUGACGAGCGGCGGACGGGUGAGUAAUGUCUGGGAAACUGCCUGAUGGAGGGGGAUAACUACUGGAAACGGUAGCUAAUACCGCAUAACGUCGCAAGACCAAAGUGGGGGACCUUCGGGCCUCAUGCCAUCAGAUGUGCCCAGAUGGGAUUAGCUAGUAGGUGGGGUAACGGCUCACCUAGGCGACGAUCCCUAGCUGGUCUGAGAGGAUGACCAGCCACACUGGAACUGAGACACGGUCCAGACUCCUACGGGAGGCAGCAGUGGGGAAUAUUGCACAAUGGGCGCAAGCCUGAUGCAGCCAUGCCGCGUGUGUGAAGAAGGCCUUCGGGUUGUAAAGCACUUUCAGCGGGGAGGAAGGCGGUGAGGUUAAUAACCUCAUCGAUUGACGUUACCCGCAGAAGAAGCACCGGCUAACUCCGUGCCAGCAGCCGCGGUAAUACGGAGGGUGCAAGCGUUAAUCGGAAUUACUGGGCGUAAAGCGCACGCAGGCGGUCUGUCAAGUCGGAUGUGAAAUCCCCGGGCUCAACCUGGGAACUGCAUUCGAAACUGGCAGGCUAGAGUCUUGUAGAGGGGGGUAGAAUUCCAGGUGUAGCGGUGAAAUGCGUAGAGAUCUGGAGGAAUACCGGUGGCGAAGGCGGCCCCCUGGACAAAGACUGACGCUCAGGUGCGAAAGCGUGGGGAGCAAACAGGAUUAGAUACCCUGGUAGUCCACGCCGUAAACGAUGUCGAUUUGGAGGUUGUGCCCUUGAGGCGUGGCUUCCGGAGCUAACGCGUUAAAUCGACCGCCUGGGGAGUACGGCCGCAAGGUUAAAACUCAAAUGAAUUGACGGGGGCCCGCACAAGCGGUGGAGCAUGUGGUUUAAUUCGAUGCAACGCGAAGAACCUUACCUGGUCUUGACAUCCACAGAACUUUCCAGAGAUGGAUUGGUGCCUUCGGGAACUGUGAGACAGGUGCUGCAUGGCUGUCGUCAGCUCGUGUUGUGAAAUGUUGGGUUAAGUCCCGCAACGAGCGCAACCCUUAUCCUUUGUUGCCAGCGGUCCG